rnacentral:misc_RNA from 1 species
GUUUUAGUUGUACAUUGUACAAAUAGACAUUCCAUUACAUUCAGAGUGUGUUGUAAAGUACUCGAGUACCAGGGCCCUUUAAGGGGGCCCAUGCAAAGCGGUACUCAGAGUCAUGGGUGCACAAGGUGUGUGAGAUUUGCGACUUGUCAACGUGCACAUUGUGGUGCCACCAGCACAGAUGACAAGCCGACUUUAGAAGAUUCAUUAAUGAUCCUUCCGCAGGUUCACCUACGGAAA